rnacentral:misc_RNA from 1 species
ACACCUCAACUCUCAUGGUCUGCCAUGAUGAGCUUGGACUUUGGGGGCCUUGCCGGCCUACUGCCGGCUCCUCUCAAAUGAAUCAGCUUGCCAGUGUUUGGUGGCAUCACAGGUGUGAUAACUAUCUACGCUUGUGGUCUGCCGCCAGGUAACCUCCAGUGAUGGAGGUUCGCUGGAGCUCACAAAUGUCUCUCCUCAGCGAGGACAGCUUCUUGAAC